rnacentral:rRNA from 1 species
UACGAAGGGGGCUAGCGUUGCUCGGAAUUACUGGGCGUAAAGGGCGCGUAGGCGGCACUGUUAGUCAGGCGUGAAAGUCCUGGGCUCAACCUGGGAACUGCGCUUGAUACGGCAGAGCUAGAGGAUGGAAGAGGCUCGCGGAAUUCCCAGUGUAGAGGUGAAAUGCGUAGAUAUCUGGAGGAACACCGGUGGCGAAGGCGGCAUCCUGGACCGAGAUUGACACUGAUGAGCGAAAGCUAGGGGAGCAAACGGG